GAUGAAGAACGCAGCAAAAUGCGAUAAGUAAUGUGAAUUGCAGAAUUCAGUGAAUCAUCGAAUCUUUGAACGCACAUUGCGCCCGCCAGUAUUCUGGCGGGCAUGCCUGUUCGAGCGUCAUUUCAACCCUCAAGCACAGCUUGGUGUUGGGACUCGCGUUAAUUCGCGUUCCUCAAAUUGAUUGGCGGUCACGUCGAGCUUCCAUAGCGUAGUAGUAAAUCCCUCGUUACUGGUAAUCGUCGCGGCCACGCCGUUAAACCCCAACUUCUGAAUGUUGACCUCGGAUCAGGUAGGAAUACCCGCUGAACUUAAGCAUAUCAAUAAGCGGAGGA
rnacentral:misc_RNA from 1 species